GCAAAAUGGCAACUAGGCCUGUUUACCUAGUUUUCAUCGGAUAUCACAACGCCUAAAUAAUAAGCUCAACAUGUACCUAUCGAAAUGUAAAGUGGUCCGUUUCCUGUGGAGCCAACAUUUGAGAUCUCUAGAUGAUUUAAAGGAGUUCGUUAUUUUGGAUAGAAA